GAUGAACGCUAGCGGCAGGCCUAAUACAUGCAAGUCGAACGGUAAGGCCCUUUCGGGGGUACACGAGUGGCGGACGGGUGCGUAACGCGUAUGCAACAUGCCUUCCAGCGGGGGAUAUACCAGGGAAACUUGGCGCAAUACCCCAUAGAAUUACGGGACCGCAUGGUCUUGUGAUUAAAACUACCGGUGCUGGGAGAUUGGCAUGCGUGACAUUAGCUAGUUGGCGGGGUAACGGGCCCACCAAGGCGACGAUGUCUAGCUGGUCUGAGAGGAUGAUCAGCCACACUGGGACUGAGACACGGCCCACGACUCCUACGGGAGGCAGCAGUAGGGAAUAUUGGACAAU
rnacentral:rRNA from 1 species